rnacentral:rRNA from 1 species
AUGAACGCUGGCGGCGUGCCUAAUACAUGCAAGUCGAGCGAACGGACGAGAAGCUUGCUUCUCUGAUGUUAGCGGCGGACGGGUGAGUAACACGUGGAUAACCUACCUAUAAGACUGGGAUAACUUCGGGAAACCGGAGCUAAUACCGGAUAAUAUUUUGAACCGCAUGGUUCAAAAGUGAAAGACGGUCUUGCUGUCACUUAUAGAUGGAUCCGCGCUGCAUUAGCUAGUUGGUAAGGUAACGGCUUAUCAAGGCAACGAUGCAUAGCCGACCUGAGAGGGUGAUCGGCCACACUGGAACUGAGACACGGUCCAGACUCCUACGGGAGGCAGCAGUAGGGAAUCUUCCGCAAUGGGCGAAAGCCUGACGGAGCAACGCCGCGUGAGUGAUGAAGGUCUUCGGAUCGUAAAACUCUGUUAUUAGGGAAGAACAUAUGUGUAAGUAACUGUGCACAUCUUGACGGUACCUAAUCAGAAAGCCACGGCUAACUACGUG